UCUGUUACAGUCACGGCUCGAAUUUGCAUUAAAGGAGUGACGUGACGCAGUGUACCGCUCUUCUAAAUGCACUCCAUUUCGCGUGCCCGCGCACUCACACAAACGCAAACACAUACAGGCGGACGUACGAGAAGAGCAUCCGAGCACACGAAUGCAAAGAGUGGCCAGGAUCGAUGCGAGCCACGUGGGCGACUUGUUAAGUGCACCGUCGAAUCACACCCAAGCUGCAGCUUCGUAUUCUGCGUUGCACCCAUACAAGAGUAUGCACUUUGAUUUAAUGCUCCACGGAGCGAGAUAACACCCGACCAGUCAAGGGUCCGAUUUUUUUCGGGAUAAUACAAAUGUUCGUACGCGCGCAUAAUGGCGAGCAAGGUCGCGCAGAGUGUGCAUUUGAGUAAUCGAGCAUUGUGCUUGCAUUACGAAGAUGGACUGGAAUGGAAUGGGUACAGAUAUGCUUGUUUGGAUAACGCCGCGAUCUUGAUUAAACGCUCUCCACCGUCAGAUCACGGAUAUCGUUAUUAAGAGAUGUUUAUUAAACAUUGGCAGAGUGUCGUUACGAAAUUAAAUAUUAAUAGUUGAAUAACGUACGUGAUGUAAGCAGAAAGAAAUGAAGUAUAAUAGAAAAACGAAACGAAAAAAUGAAAGGGGAGCAACUUGAAGAUUUCUCGUAGAACAAUUUAAGGUUGGAAACUAGAUUUCAAUUCCGGCGCAGACACCUGGCGUCUCCGGUCGUAAUACUUUACGAAUAAUAUUAACGACGUACCACGAAAAAUCACCGCCUACAUGAUUUACGAAAUGAUAAAUUAAUUGCACAAAAUAUGAAGCUACUCGUGGAUCCGGUUAGACCUUGUACAAAUCGGUGUUCUAUAGAAUGAUUGAUGAUUAAUGCAUGCAACUCUCAAUCAGGAAAACAAUUCAAAACCUUGGUGAAUAAUUGUUGUAUAAUUGCAAAAAUUAUCGAAACAAAUUUGUAACAGAUCAGCUUUUU